rnacentral:rRNA from 1 species
CCUACGGGGUGCACCAGUCGCGAAAACUUCACAAUGGGGGCAACCCCGAUGAGGGAAUUCCUAAUGCUAGCACAUUUGUGUUAGCUUUUCUUUAGCGUAGAUAACUAGAGGAAUAAGGGCUGGGAAAGACGGGUGCCAGCCGCCGCGGUAAUACCUGCAGCCCAAGUGGUGGUCGAGUUUAUUGAGUCUAAAACGUUCGUAGCCGGUUCGGUAAAUCUUUGGGUAAAUCGGGGGGCUUAACCUUCCGACUUCCGAGGAGACUGCCGAACUUGGGACCGGGAGAGGCUAGAGGUACUUCUGGGGUAGGGGUAAAAUCCUGUAAUCCUAGAAGGACCACCGGUGGCGAAGGCGUCUAGCUAGAACGGAUCCGACGGUGAGGGACGAAGCCCUGGGUCGCAAACGGGAUUAGAUACCCUUGUAGUCC